rnacentral:rRNA from 1 species
GUCCACGCCGUAAACGAUGAAUACUAGCCGUUGGGGCCUUUGAGGCUUUAGUGGCGCAGCUAACGCGAUAAGUAGACCGCCUGGGGAGUACGGUCGCAAGACUAAAACUCAAAUGAAUUGACGGGGGCCCGCACAAGCGGUGGAGCAUGUGGUUUAAUUCGAUGCAACGCGAAGAACCUUACCUGGUCUUGACAUAGUAAGAACUUUUCCAGAGAUGGAUUGGUGCCUUCGGGAACUUACAUACAGGUGCUGCAUGGCUGUCGU